AAACAUCUGCUCCUUCAUAACACUGAGCACUCUGAGCCCGGAGCAGCAGCCAGGAGGGGCUGCAGGAGUGGUCUGAGAGUGCAGGACACCAUCCCCGGAACAGUCCACAACGUGGGAGCGGUGCCCUGAUGGGGGCCGAGAGCUUCUCCCUAGAGGUGACUCUUCAGCAUGGAUCCCCAGUGGGAUUCUCCGAAGCCGCUGGGAGCAGCAGCAAGCGCUCUGACUCCUGGAAGAGCCCUCAGUCUGGAAUGCAAAAGCCACGCUAAGGUGUUUCUUAAGCAGAUACCUGCAAAUGUAUGCAGAUGUAAGCCUCUUCCGAUAUUUUAUCUAGGACAGAAAAUGUGGCUAAUUUUAUUGAAGGUGCUGCCUAACUGUUUCUGGAACGACGUGAAAAGUUUCCCAACACCAGUCGCUGCAAGCCAGCUGACCACGUCAACUCCAGAGAAAGAAAGUGAAGAUCAUACUGGUGGAGCGUGUCAGCACCAGGCUCUCUGUUAAGGUCUGCACUGUUUCGUUUAAUUCACUUGCUGGCCUCAUGAGGGAGGUCAUGUUAUUUCUCCUGCUUAUCAGGUGAGGAAACUGACACUUAGAUGUUGAAUUAAGUAACUUGCUCAAGGUCUGGGCAGCCAGUGGGACUGGGAUUCCAACCAUGGCUUCAAAGGCUGGUCUUGAACUCCUGACCUCAGGUGAUCCUCCCGCCUCGGCCUCCCAAAGUGCUGGGAGUACAGGCGUGAGCCCCAGACACUGCCACCCUGUGUGGCAGACAAGACCAGCACCCUCCUCCAGCAGUGCACUUGCCUCACCAAUGCCAGCCAGACUGGGGAGACAGGUACGCCCCUUCCCCCACACUGGGAACUGGACCCUCCCCAGAGGGUAGCUGGAGGGCACCUGUGGGAUGAAAAAAUCAGACGCAUCUCACUCUCCCACGUAGGUUAGUCAGAGGCUUGAGUGAUAAACUACUCGGGCCCUGUUCCUCAGCCCACUGCAGUCCACCAGACAGGGGUGAUGACACGAGGCAGGAGCCAAGCCUUCCCUCCCCAGCUUCGAGGGGGCUGGCAGGCCUGAACCUGGUUCCCUGGACAACUCAGGGUCAUCUCAGCAAAUAUUGAUGGAAGAAUAUUGCCAAGAGCUCAAGUCUGUGCCAGGAACUGAAGAGUCAAAGAGGCACAGAUGAAGCCACUGGGUUUACAGGGACAAGACAGCAUUCACAAGCAGAAUACAGCCCUGAGGCUACCGGGGUAUCUCUUGCGUGCUGGGUGUCGGCUAGAGCACUCCAGUAGAGAAGCCCAGGAAGGCUUCUCAGAGGAGGUGUCCUUGGCCUCCUGCGUUCAUUUGGCACACAUGAUAGCUACUGUGUGGGUGUAGCACUUUGGUGGGUAUCAGAUUCACCUGUAGAACUUCGUAAAAACACAGUGGCCUGAGUCCUCUUCUCCAGCAAGCCUGGGCCUCCAGAUCAUUCUGCUACACACCGAAGUUUGAGAAGCACUAGAUCACCUCUGUGCAAUAAACCCUUACAGCCAAGCAGUCCCAAAGUCUCAGUACCUGCUCCUCAUUCUCAGCUGCCUCCAGGCUCCUGGUACUCAGUACAGCUUUUUUUUGUUUUUUUUUUUUUUUGAAACACAGUCUCACUCUAUCUCAGCCUCCCGAGUAACUGGGACUACAGGCGCCCGCCACCACGCCCGGCUAAUUUGUUGUAUUUUUAGUAGAGACGGGGUUUCAUCAUGUUAGCCAGGAUGGUCUCGAUCUCCUGACCUCGUGAUCUGCCCACCUCGGCCUCCCAAAGUGCUGGGAUUACAGGCGUGAGCCACCACGCCUGGCCAAUGUUUUGUUUCUUAAACUGGGUUCUAGUUAACCUUGAGUGUUCAGUUUGUAAAACUUCACCAUGCUAUACUGUUAGGGUAGAUGCAUUUUUCUGUCUAGGUGUUAUAUUUUAAUUACAACAAUUUUAUAUUUUCUUUUUUUUUUUUUUUUUUGAGACGGAGUCUCGCUCUGUCGCCCAGGCUAGAGUGCAGUGGCUGGAUCUCAGCUCACUGCAAGCUCCGCCUCCCGGGUUCACGCCAUUCUCCUGCCUCAGCCUCCCGAGUAGCUGGGACUAUAGGCGCCCGCCACCUCGCCCGGCUAGUUUUUUGUAUUUUUCAGUAGAGACGGGGUUUCACCAUGUUAGCCAGGAUGGUCUUGAUCUCCUGACCUCGUGAUCCACCCAUCUCGGCCUCCCAAAGUGCUGGGAUUACAGGCUUGAGCCACUCGCCUGGCCAACAAUUUUAUAUUUUCAAUUGGUAAUCACUUUUUUUUUUUAAUUUUAUUUAUGUAUUUUGAGAUGGAGGCUCAUUCUGUUGCCCAGGCUGGAGUGCAGUGGUGCAAUCUCGGCUCACUGCAACCUCUGUCUCCCGAUUCUCCUGCCUCAGCCUCCCCCAGUAGCUGGGAUUACAGGCAUGUACCACCACGCCCAGCUAAUUUUUUUGUGUGUUUUGUGUUUCUAUUAGAGACGGGGUUUCACUAUGUUGGCCAGGCUGGCUCGAACUCCUGACCUCAAAUGAUUCGCCCACCUCAGACUCCCAAAGUGGUGGGAUUACAGGCGUGAGCUACCUUGCCCAGUCGGUAAUUGCCUUUUGUAGAGGUAUAAAUCAGAAGGUAAAAUCACCCCUAAACCCAGCACAGUGGAGCAUGGGAAGGCAUCGUGGGGCUGGCCUAUGAGUUCCCUUGGCCAUGGGAUCGGCAUGAGUGUGGGUGGGUGGCAGAGCAGCCAACCUACCCCUGCCAGCUGCCCCCAGAGUCUGAGUGACAGCCCCCAACUCCUCUCUAUCCCUCUGUCAUCUUGUCCUGACCUCUUAGCCAUUGGUACCCCCAUCCCUGCCUCGGGAUCCUGCUCACAAAGUGAGGCUGAAUUGUCAAGCCUGGGACGAGGCGCUUUGGACGGCAGGCCUGCACUCACUGGGGCUCCCUGCUUCCGUGUUUCCCAACAGGCCCUGGAGGCCUAGUAAGCAGGCCUAGGCAGGAUCCUUAGCCUCUGCCCACAGUGGCAGAAACAGCCAGGGGCUGCCGACUCUCCCAGCUACCCUCCCCUAGACUUACCUUUACCCCCACCCAAGUCCUCAUCUGUCUGCACAAGACUCAGCAUAUGUGAAGAGCACAGCGGGGUUUUGGAGUCAGGCACGCUUAGUAGCUGUGUGACCUUGCAUGAGUUACUCAACCUCUCUGAGCCUUGGUAGCUUCAUAGACACUAAAAAACAGACAUUUAAAGAAGUGGGAUAGGCCAGGCACGGUGGUUCACGCCUGUAAUCCCAGCACUUUGGGAGGCUGAGGUGGGCAGAUCACAAGGUCAGGAAUUCGAGACCAGCCUGGUGAAACCCUGUCUCUACUAAACAUAUAACAACAACAACAAAAUUAGCCAAGCGUGGUGGCGGGCGCCUGUAAUCCCAGCUACUCGGGAGGCUGAGGCAGGAGAACUGCUUGAACCUGGGAGGCAGAGGUUGCAGUGAGCUGAGAUUGCGCCACUGCACUCCAGUCUGGGCAACAGAGCGAGACUCCAUCUCUAAAUAAAUAAAUAAAUAAAUAAAUAAAUAAGUGAGAUAAAUGUGAAUGGGAGUUUACCAUUUUCUUCUUGUGCCCCAGUGGAUUGAUGUGCACCCCCACACUGGAGACCACUCCAAACUUCUGACAAUCAUAAGAUAUUUUAGAUCUUAGGCUAUCAAAG
ensembl:lncRNA